GACGAACGCUGGCGGCGUGCCUAAUACAUGCAAGUCGAGCGGAAUGAUGAAGAAGCUUGCUUCUUCUGAUUUUAGCGGCGGACGGGUGAGUAACACGUGGGCAACCUACCUUGUAGAUUGGGAUAACUCCGGGAAACCGGGGCUAAUACCGAAUAAUCCAUUUCGCUUCAUGGCGGAAUGUUAAAAGGCGGCGCAAGCUGUCACUGCAAGCUUGGCCCGCGGCGCAUUAGCUAGUUGGUAGGGUAACGGCCUACCAAGGCGACGAUGCGUAGCCGACCUGAGAGGGUGAUCGGCCACACUGGGACUGAGACACGGCCCAGACUCCUACGGGAGGCAGCAGUAGGGAAUCUUCCACAAUGGACGAAAGUCUGAUGGAGCAACGCCGCGUGAGUGAAGAAGGUUUUCGGAUCGUAAAACUCUGUUGUAAGGGAAGAACACGUACGAGAGUAACUGCUCGUACCUUGACGGUACCUUAUUAGAAAGCCACGGCUAACUACGUGCCAGCCGCCGCGGUAACAC
rnacentral:rRNA from 1 species